rfam:Triticum aestivum genome assembly, contig: Triticum_aestivum_CS42_TGACv1_scaffold_405543_5BL
AUGUUAAGAGGUGCUCGGGUAGCCAGGGUGACUUGCCCAUGGAACUGCCGGACACCGCUCUCUGUGGCAGAGAGCUCGGCUCCCAAGGGAGUUUCACAGGCAAAUCAUCCUUGGCUACCGAAGAUGGCCUCUUACCC